ACAGAGGCGAUGAUGGAACAACACUGUGAAGAGGUGGGUGUGCAUGUGUGCGUGUGUGCACACAUGCAUGUGUCAGACAGGCAUCCAUCCUAUCCAGGAGAUAGGAAACCAAGAAUGCAAAGACAACUCAGCAGAUCUGCUGGCAUGGAGGCGAGGCUGCAUGGAAGGAUCUGGAUUGGAUAGGAGUGUCCCAUUCAGGACAUGUGUCACUCAAAACCACACAACUCAGACUUGGGGAAUAUUCUAUGCCAGUCACAUCUGUUUACAACACGUGUGGCAUCUCCUGUGGACGGAGUUGACAGUCUCAUCCUGAGAUAGGCAGAGCCUGGAGUGGAAAACCACAGCACGGCUCCCCAUAAAAGUCAUCUUUAUGGACAGAUAUUUCAUGGCGGCAGCUUGAGAAGGCUCACGUUUCUUAGGCAGCUGGUGCAGAGCCAGGAGAGCUAAUCAUGAGAUCUUCCAGUCCCAGGACGCGGGCUGCGGCUGGCGGCUGUGGCCGUCUUAUAUCAAACUCUCAAGAGUCACAGGGCAGCAGCAUUGGCCCCCUCCCAAGUCAUUCCAGAUGGGAUUUAAGGUGGCUUAAUGAGCAUUCAUAAAAUACAGCAAGAGAACAUAAAUUGAAAAGGGUGUGCAAGAAGAAAUCAAA
rnacentral:lncRNA from 1 species